AUUGAACGCUGGCGGCAUGCCUUACACAUGCAAGUCGAACGGCAGCACGGGAGCAAUCCUGGUGGCGAGUGGCGAACGGGUGAGUAAUAUAUCGGAACGUGCCCAGUCGUGGGGGAUAACGUAGCGAAAGCUACGCUAAUACCGCAUACGAUCUAUGGACGAAAGCGGGGGAUCGCAAGACCUCGCGCGAUUGGAGCGGCCGAUAUCAGAUUAGGUAGUUGGUGAGGUAAAGGCUCACCAAGCCGACGAUCUGUAGCUGGUCUGAGAGGACGACCAGCCACACUGGGACUGAGACACGGCCCAGACUCCUACGGGAGGCAGCAGUGGGGAAUUUUGGACAAUGGGCGCAAGCCUGAUCCAGCAAUGCCGCGUGCAGGAUGAAGGCCUUCGGGUUGUAAACUGCUUUUGUACGGAACGAAACGGCGAGCUCUAAUACAGUUUGCUAAUGACGGUGCCGUAAGAAUAAGCACCGGCUAACUACGUGCCAGCAGCCGCGGUAA
rnacentral:rRNA from 1 species